rnacentral:rRNA from 1 species
GAUAAACGUUUGCGGUGCGCCUUAUGCAUGCUAGUUGUACGGGGUUAUGGUUUUCGGACUGUAAUCUAGUGGCGAACGGCUGAGUAACACAUAAGUAACCUACCUUCAAGUGGGGAAUAACCUGCCGAAAGACAGGCUAAUACCGCAAUGAUACUCAAGGAUUGCUUGGUUAUUAAAGCCUUAGGGUGCUUGAAGAGGGACUUAUGUCUGAUUAGCUAGUUGGUAGGGUAACGGCUUACCAAGGCGAUGAUCAGUAGCUGGUCUGAGAGGAUGUCCAGCCAGAUGGGGACUGAGAUACGGCCCCAACUCCUAUGGGAGGCAGCAGCAAGGAAUUUUGGGCAAUGGGCGAAAGCCUGACCCAGCGACACCGUGUGAGGGAAGAAGGCCUUCGGGUUGUAAACCUCUUUUCUCGAGGAAGAAUUUUGACGGUACUCGAGGAAUAAGUCUCGGCUAACUACGUGCCAGCAGCCGCGGUAAUACGUAGGAGGCGAACGUUAUCCGGAUUUACUGGGCGUAAAGAGAGCGUAGGUGGUUCCCUAAGUCAGGUGUGAAAUCUUCUGGCUCAACCAGGAGAGGUCAUCUGAUACUGUGGAGCUUGAGGGCAGCAGAAGGAAAUGGAAUUCCCAGUGUAGCGGUGAAAUGCGUUGAUAUUGGGAAGAACACCAGUGGCGAAGGCGAUUUCCUAGGUUGUUCCUGACACUGAGGCUCGAAAGCGUGGGGAGCGAAGCGGAUUAGAUACCCGCAUAGUCCACGCCGUAAACGGUGGACACUAGAUAUGGGAAGUAUCGACCCUUUUCGUGUCGAAGCUAACGCUUUAAGUGUCCCGCCUGGGGAGACGGCCGCAAGGCU